UACGUAGGGUGCAAGCGUUGUCCGGAAUUAUUGGGCGUAAAGAGCUCGUAGGCGGUCUGUCGCGUCUGCUGUGAAAACUCAGGGCUUAACCCUGAGCUUGCAGUGGGUACGGGCAGACUAGAGUGCGGUAGGGGAGACUGGAAUUCCUGGUGUAGCGGUGAAAUGCGCAGAUAUCAGGAGGAACACCGGUGGCGAAGGCGGGUCUCUGGGCCGAUACUGACGC
rnacentral:rRNA from 1 species